UACGUAGGGCGCAAGCGUUGUCCGGAGUUAUUGGGCGUAAAGAGCUCGUAGGCGGUUUGUCGCGUCUGAUGUGAAAACCUAAGGCUCAACCUUGGGCUUGCAGUGGGUACGGGCAGACUAGAGUGCGGUAGGGGUGACUGGAAUUCCUGGUGUAGCGGUGGAAUGCGCAGAUAUCAGGAGGAACACCGAUGGCGAAGGCAGGUCACUGGGCCGCAACUGACGCUGAGGAGCGAAAGCAUGGGGAGCGAACAGG
rnacentral:rRNA from 1 species